rnacentral:sRNA from 1 species
GUGACCCACGGUCUGAGAGCAUACGAUGGCUUGUCUCUGCCUGAGGACACGGAGACAGUCACGGCAAGCCAAAUGCGCUGGACACAUUCGUACCUUUCUGAUGAUGAGGACAUGCUGGCUGACAGCAUCUCGGGAGACGACCUGGGCAGUGGGGACCUGGGCAGCGGGGACUUCCAGAUGGGGAGCUGGAUGGCUGGGUUUUUGUGGAGCUGGAUGUGGGCUCAGAAGGGAAUGCGGAUGGGGCUCAGAUUCAGGAGGUGCUGCUCAGGGUCAUCUCCAGCAGUUCCAUGGCCUCCUACAUCACCUCUCCCCAGGGAUUCCAGUUCCGACGCCUGGGCACAGUGCCCCAGUUCCCAAGAGCCUGCACGGAGGCCGAGUUUGCCUGCCACAGCUACAACGAGUGUGUGGCCCUGGAGUAUCGCUGUGACCGGCGGCCCGACUGCAGGGACAUGUCUGAUGAGCUCAAUUGCGAGGAGCCAGUCCUGGGUAUCAGCCCCACAUUCUCUCUCCUCAUGGAGACGACACCUUUACCGCCCCGGCCAGAGACAACCAUCAUGCGACAGCCACCAGUCACACACGCUCCUCAGCCCCUGCUUCCCGGUUCCGUCAGGCCCCUGCCCUGUGGGCCCCAGGAGGCCACAUGCCGCAGUGGGCACUGCAUCCCCAGAGACUACCUCUGCGACGGACAGGAGGACUGCGAGGACGGCAGCGAUGAGCUAGACUGUGGCCCCCCGCCACCCUGUGAGCCCAACGAGUUCCCCUGCGGGAAUGGACAUUGUGCCCUCAAGCUGUGGCGCUGCGAUGGUGACUUUGACUGUGAGGACCGAA